AAGGCGUUUACUUCCACACUAGGUCUAUGGGUAAUACCUUCCUUUUACACAGUCUAUGGACUCAUCACUCAUCAAACUCAGAUCAUUGUGCUCGAAACGUCACACUGGUGAUAUCCAAAUAAAUUGCCUGCAUUGGGAACUGCAGUCAUGGAUGAGACACCACAGUGUGGCGACUCUGGAGAAGACGUUAAUACGAGCUUGAAGCAAUCAGAGUGCAUCACGAGCCAGCCGACAGCCGAUACGGGUCCACAUCUCAACACAGACUCCUGCAUUGAAAUGUGCUGCAAUUGUGAAGCCUUCUGCUGCUGCAUUGAGACAGUGAGUGAUCUGGCAUGUGUGCUGGAGAUGUGCC